UCCCGUAACGAGCGCAACCCUUGUCCCUAUUUGCCAGCGAUUCGGUCGGGAACUCUAGGGAGACUGCCGGUGACAAACCGGAGGAAGGUGGGGACGACGUCAAGUCAUCAUGGCCCUUACGGGUAGGGCUACACACGUGCUACAAUGGCCGGUACAAAGGGUUGCGAAAGCGCGAGCUGAAGCGAAUCCCGAAAAGCCGGUCUCAGUCCGGAUCGGAGUCUGCAACUCGACUCCGCGAAGUCGGAAUCGCUAGUAAUCGUGCAUCAGAAUGGCACGGUGAAUACGUUCCCGGGCCUUGUACACACCGCCCGUCACACCAUGGAAGUGGACUGCACCAGAAGUGGUUAGCUUAACCCUCGGGAGAGCGAUCACCACGGUGUGGUUCAUGACUGGGGUGAAGUCGUAACAAGGUAGCCGUAGGGGAACCUGCGGCUGGAUCACCUCCUUAAACGA
rnacentral:rRNA from 1 species